UUUAAUUGGCCAUUUGUUUGAAUAGCUUCAAGGUAUGACCCAUACACAAAACAAUACAUUUCUUGUUAAUCUUUUUAUUCAAGAGUAGCAUUCAAAUGUUCAUUAUCAAAGUUAAAUCAAACUACACAGUAACUCUAUUCAAUUGAUACAAUAAAUACUGUACCCUGGCCAAAACCUGCAACCAGCAAUAACUGUAUGUGAUAUUUACAUUAUAGCCCUACAUUACAAGCUACUUUCCCUGCAGUAAUCUAUUUCCCAGAACUGGACAGUAACACAACUAUAACAAUAGGAUAAGUAAGGGUACUACUUAGACUGACAAUGAAUCAAUAAACCAUAAUGAUAGAUUCUUUAAAUAUAUACAAAUGCAUUUUCAAUAAAUCAUUCAAUCUAAAUAUUUUAUAAAAGAAGUGACAGAAUAUUUUAGUUUAGGUUGUAACACAUGCAGGUCCUGCCCUUAAAUGUGUAAACAGUGGCAUUUUAGCAGUGGCAUUACACUUGGCUUUGCUUGUUACAGUAACUGAGUAGUCUGUCUUCUGCAGUCAGAGAGAGAAGGGAGGUGAAUGGUCCCAGUUGGCCAGCCUGCAUCAUGGAAUAUUAAUGUGUUCUGAUAGAUACUUCAUUCAGUAGACUAUAUCAUCAUUCUGUAAUCCUCUGCUGGCCUGGGAUUGGAUAUUAUGUCAUCAUUCAGCGCGCCCGCCAUCUCAUUUAACAUCUAGGCUAACUCAAGGACAAAGGAGAGAAGAAACCAUAUAAUUUACACCAUGAUAAGAGAACAGAAAAAUUGUACAGUUUGCAUAUUGCAGGCUAAUAUCUUUCAGAAAUUCAAGGACUUGAGACAACAAGGACAUAUAGAGACAGAUAUUGACUAACAACAACAAAUAUGUUUCCAUAUACAAUACUGCAAAUGGUAGUAUACAUCUGUGAAAAGUAAUGCUUUGAGGACCAUAAUAACCAAAAACUCUUCUUAUCCGAAGCCCAAGAUAUUGUAUUUCAGGAGCAGAGAGGGAAGCAGUUUGGAUAUGUUUCUGUUUGACUACAUCCUCUUCUGACUCCAUGUCCAUAAACAGUGAGACUGUUAGUUUUACACA
rnacentral:lncRNA from 8 species